CAGCCGCCGCGGUAAUACGUAGGGUGCGAGCGUUAAUCGGAAUUACUGGGCGUAAAGCGUGCGCAGGCGGCUUUGCAAGACAGAUGUGAAAUCCCCGGGCCCAACCUGGGAACUGCAUUUGUGACUGCAAGGCUAGAGUACGGUAGAGGGGGAUGGAAUUCCGCGUGUAGCAGUGAAAUGCGUAGAUAUGCGGAGGAACACCAAUGGCGAAGGCAAUCCCCUGGACCUGUACUGACGCUCAUGCACGAAAGCGUGGGGAGCAAACAGGAUUAGAUACCCCCGUAGUCCCUGUCUCUUAUAC
rnacentral:rRNA from 1 species